GAAAGCUAGAGAGAAGGGAGUAAUUCUGCUUUCCUCUCUCUCCCAGUGGUUAUAGUGGUUGUCAGAGCACAACUUUUCAGGAACCUGAGUCUCCCUUCUCCAGUUUUAUAACUGGAUUCUGAAGCAUGGUGAGGAAAUAUUCUCACCCAUUCUUACAGAAGCUAUUCUAGUUCAUGUUAAACAAAUGAUUGACCUUUGAGCAAAAGCAAGGAUGACUUGUGUCCUCAUAGCUGAGUCUAUGAUGCAUCAUAUCCCCGAGGACUGCAGUAAUAGUAAUGGAGAAGGAAACAGACGAAAAUAUAAUGACAGACAUUGUCAGUGGCAACAGCUCUGUGGAGGUGAACCUCCAUCCAGUGUCAUCUCGGGCUUCUCAGCUGGGUUCUGCAGUCACAAAAUUGAGUGUGAGAGGACGCAGGUAAUGGCUUUCCAUCAUUGUGUCUUCCUGGGGCUGCUCCGUGUCCCUGGGCACUGUGAGCCAGGCAGUUUGCUGCUCUCCUCUGCUCCUGAGCGCUUGGAGCUGGCUCAUGGGGACGAACAGUCCAAACAACUGCGGGUGCCUUUGGAUGAAACCAACUGUGACUGCCUCUUUCUAUCUGGUAUUUGACAGCCUGAAGUUUUGCCAGAAGCUAUAAAGAAAUUAUUUGUCUAAAGCUAGUGGCUUGAAGUUUGGCUUUUAACUCUGCAUUUAGCUACCUCUUUAAAUACCCUGAUAUUAAAAAAAAGAUGCUCACACUGAAGCUCAAUACUUAUGAAAAUUAUAUUUCUCCCAACCACAUCUACAUAGCACUUAUCACAGUGCAGCCUGGGUUCAGGACUUAAAAAUGUGCCUGGUGUAGAUAUAGAUUGUAAUGAAGUACUAAAUGACUGCAGACAACAUCUGGAGAUAAAACCCCUGCCUCACUUAUUGCUGGCAGAACAGAAAUCAUAUUGUACCUCAGGAGCAGAAAUUGUCAAAGAUCUUUUGGAGUUUCACCUUGCAGCUGGGUAGACUGGUGGAAAAUUAAACGUGCUGACUCAAAGGACUCAGGAUCAUAUCCACAAAAAUAUCCAUUAUCACAAACAUUGACUGUCCAUGUAUAAGUAUCUGGCAGAGAAAAGCAAUAGAAUUUCCCCAAGGCAGUGCUAUGAGAAAGGAGCACUGGGGGGAGCGUCAGGUCCUGGGAACUUGAGGGUCCUUUCAGCUGCUUGGACAUAUCCAUUACCAAAAUAUUGCUGUUUUGAUUAUGGUAUUUCUUAUAUAUGACAGGAUCUUUUCUUCUAAGGAUAUCAGUGGUCCCCAGCUCAAGUGAAAAAAUUCCUGUCUUGUGGAUAAUUACACCAGUUAGGAAGAAGUGAUGGAAAAAUAAUAGCUAAAAUGAUAAACUGGUGAAUAACGAGAAACAUACCUAAAUGUUCCAGCUAAUGUUAACAGGCUGAAAACAGAUUUAACAUUCAACAGCUGCAAGGAAAAAUGUUUGACAUCCCUGCCUCUGCAAGCCAGUUCAAGGAAAGGGAGGGUCAUUAAGCAUGAACAAUGUCAGCUAAAAGCCUCUCUCCUCCCUUGAAGGCCUGCUUGUAUACGUGACCAUACAGUACUGGUCAUUUCCCAUCUUCUUAGGCACAUA
rnacentral:lncRNA from 1 species